CCUACGGGAGGCAGCAGUGAGGAAUAUUGGUCAAUGGACGAGAGUCUGAACCAGCCAAGUAGCGUGAAGGAUGACUGCCCUAUGGGGUGUAAACUUCUUUUAUAGGGGAAUAAAACAGGGUAUGCAUACCCUCUUGUAUGUACCAUAUGAAUAAGGAUCGGCUAACUCCGUGCCAGCAGCCGCGGUAAUACGGAGGAUCCGAGCGUUCUCCGGAUUUAUUGGGUUGAAAGGGAGCGUCGGUGGCUUGUUAAGUCAGUUGUGAAAGUUUGCGGCUCAACCGUAUAAUUGCAGUUGACACGGGCAGUCUUGAGUACCGUAGAGGUGGGCGGAAUUCGUGUUGUAGCGG
rnacentral:rRNA from 1 species